CCGAGCAUGGAGAGGGCAGAGUGGUGGACUGGACUGGACUAGCCUAGAUCUCAUAGCACGCCUUCUCCCCCGGGCUAGCACGUCUUGCGAACCGCCGGCGGCCUGCUCGCCGGUUGGCGCGUGCUAGCAGGGGGAGGCGCCGGAUCUCGCGGGGCAAGCGCGUCCACACCGUGAGGUACCUUUCUAUGGGAUGAAGUGAAGAGUGCCGAGUGUCUUGAUCUUACUAAUCAAUACAUCAAAUUAUGUGCAUAAUAAGCUUUUGCUAUGCUCUCACCGUUAAUGUCCACUGGUUGGAUCAUGCUUCUGUUUAUGAGCUCAUUGAAGUAAUUCUCUCGUAGCUCAAAUUGGCCAAUUUCUCGUUUGCGUGGCACACAAAACCUUCAGCUAUCCAUCUCCAUAUCAGUUGGAUCUCUCUUAAUUUUGUAAUCUUUUGGAAAUAUGCUUAGGUGUAAUAAACGAUGCAAAGGUAGAUCAUAAAACAUGCACCAAUAUUAUGAGAAAUAUCAAAGAAAAAGAGUAAAAGAGGCCCUUGACUUGUAGAUUAUACAAGAGUUAUGAUCUAGAAGUUGACCCUUUUUUCCUAGUAGUUCUGAUCUACCUUCCCAUCUAUAUGAUUAGUUAUUAUGUCUAAGCAUGUUUUUAGAAGAUUAGAUGAUUAAGCAAGCUCAUUUGAUAUGUAAGUGGAUAGUUUGAGGUUUUGUUUAUCAUGAAAAACAAGGGAUUAGCAAGUUUGAGCUCGGUGGUAGAAUUGCUCAAUGAGACCGUGAAUAGGAGCAUGAUUCAACCAAUUGACAUCAAUGUUGGUAAAUGCAUGGAAAAAUCUUAUUGUAUACAUGAUAUGGUGAUUGAUUCCAUAUGUUUCUGCCAAGUUAAGAAAAAUCACUUAAAUUGAAGCGAUAAUGGUCUGUCCAAAAGCAAGAUUUGAAGAUUAUCCAUCCCAAAGUGCAUGACAGGUAGCAGCUAUGCCACAAGUCAGGUCUCUUGCAAUUGUUGAUUCAUUGUAGCUUAUGCUGAGUGUUCAGUUCUACAUGUUCGUCUGUCCUUUGCAAUCAGGAUGAUUCAAGAACAUUGCAUUUGUCUUUGUUUUGAUUUUUCUUCCUUACGCAAUGACAUGAAGCUCUCAUUGUAUCUACCCACUUAUGCUGAAUUGUAUUGUCAUGAAACUUUUAGUUGUAGCCACUUAUGUUGUCAGUUCCCUUGAGUCAAGAACCAUCAAGUUUAUAUGUGUUGGUUCCGCAGUUGGCUCAUGAUGAACUUGUUUUUCCACUCCUUUAUUUUGCAGGAUGCUAGCUUGUUAUUCUGUCUGAUUUUGUGUAUCCAUUGUGUCUCUUUCCUUUAUAGGAGUAUAGUAGCAGCUUUCAAAGUCUCUUUAUACUAUCAGUUGCUCAUUUUUCUGGAAGUCCACCUUUCCUUUGUAGUGGUUGCUAUUAGUGUUAUUUAAUGUCCUACAUAAAUGUCCAGGUGCUACUACCAUGAACUGAUGCAAUGAUGGUCGGUAUGUGUGCAUCUUAAGUGCAAAUAGUUGGUGAUUCACUGAGUGUGGCAUUGCAAAGGCCAAGCUCCAUGGAGCUCAUUUUGCAAAAAUAAUAAUAAUUCAAAACAUAUUUAAAAGCUUCAAAAAAUGUCAACUUUUUUCUACAAAUACAUAUGCAUAUUCUUCAAGCAUUAUAAAAUUUCAUCAAUUAAUUUGAUUAUUUGUGUGCUACACAAAAUAGACAAGUAUCUUACCAAAUACAAGAAAGAAAAAAGCCUAUUUCAAUCUGUGUACUUUUUCUUUUUUGUGUAUAUCAUAUAUGAAUAUAUAUGUUCAUGACAUUUUAUACAUGUAUACUACAAAUAUAUGUCUACAUGUAAACUUUUUAUCAGAUUUUUCUGAGACGUGGAAAAUGUUUUUUUUUGCUGAAAAUAAAUAAAGAGCUCUAUAGAAUCCGGCCUCUGCUUACACUUUUUUUUAGAACUCUGCUUACACUUUUCGGUGAUUCACUGUAAAUUUAGUGUUUGGUAUAAGAUAUUUAUCUCCUAGGUUUUUUAUUUCAUUUUUUGUCUUCAUAACUAGCUCAUUAUUCAUUAUUUAUUGUUGUCUUCUCUUUAUGAAGAACCCAUAUGCAUGUGUUGACGGCUUGCCAACUAAUCAUUACAAAAACUUCAAAUGCAUAGGUUCUUGAGCACGGGCUGAGAAAUCACAAAUGUUGUGGAUUUACAAGGAUGAUAGCCCAGACGAAGAAUACCUUGUUAUUUGGCUGUUGCCAUACAUAAUUUUAUCUCUCCGCAAAAAAUAUAUUAGAUCAAGCAUCAUAUCAUGGACCUGAUAAGGUUUUGUUCUUCUCGUCGUUGAUGCCUACCGGUUGGAUCAUGCUUCUGUUUACGAGCUCAUUGAAGCAACUCUCUCCUAGCUCAAAUUGGGCCAAAUUCUCCUUUACAUGAUACACAAAUAUUUUGGCUAUCCAUCUCAAUAUGAGCUACUCUGUCUUUCUUAAUUUUGUUAUCUUCUAAAAAGAUGAUUGCAUAUAAUAGCGGAUGUGAAGGUACAUGAUAAAAACAACACAAUCUUUACUCUUAAGCAAGUUGGGAUAGACUAGAGAUAAACACAAUAGGAUUCACACACAACAACAAUAUAUGAAGGUACAUGAUAAAAACAACACAAUCGUUACUCUUAAGCAAGUUGGGAUAGAAUUGAGAUAAAACACAAUAGGAUCCACACACAACAACAAUAUGAGCUGUAGCAAAUAAAUAGUAAAAGAAGCCCUUGACUUGUAGAUUAUGUCAAAGGGAUGAUCUAGACUCAAGCUUCCAUUAGUAAUAGUCUGAUCUAUCUCCUCGUCUAUAGGGUUAGUUGUUAUAUCUAAGUAUAUUUGUAGAAGAUUAAGCAAGGUCACUUGAUAUGAUAAUGGAUAGCCGAGUGCUUUAUUUAUCAUUGAAAACAAGAUAUUAGCCUAUUUGAGCUCAGUGGUAGAUUUACUCGAUGAGAUCAUAAAUAGAAGCAUGGUUCAACCAAUAGACAUCAAUGUUGAUGAAGGAAUGAAAACAUCUUAAUUGUAUUCAUGAUAUGAUGAUUGAUCCCAUAUGUUUUGGCCAAGUGAAGAGGACCAACCACUUGCAUGGCACUUAGUGAAAGCGGUUUUUACAAAGGCAAGAUUUGAAGAUUAUCCAUCCGAAAGAGCAUGUCAGAUAAGACCACCAUCAGAAGCAGCAAUGCCACAGGUGAGGUAUCUUACAAUAUCCAUAUGUGCUAUUGUUGAUAGUGUUGCUUAUGUUGACUACCUGUGUUGGAUUUAGAAUAUUGUGAUGUAUGUUUCUCAUCAAUGGAGGCUCCUGAAACUCGGAGAACACUGCAUUUGUCUUGGUGUUUUGAUUUGUCUUCUGCAAGCACAUGAAGCUGUCCUUGUGAUUGCAUCCUCUUGUGCCUGAAUUCUAUCAUCUCUUCUAUCAACUCAAGAACCAUAAAGUUUCAGCGGCCUCCUGUGUUUAGCUUGUUAUAUGAACUUAUUUUUCCAUUUCUUUGUGCUGUAAGGAAGUAUGUAAUUAUGAUGUACUGCUAGCAGCUUGCUGGUUAAUUUUCCUUGCCAUUUUGAAUCUUCUUCGGCAUGAAGCUCUCAUUGUGAUUGUUCCCACUUAUGCCUGAAUUUUAUUAUCACUACUGCUGAUUGAAGAAACAUUCAGUUUCUGCUGUGCCUCUUGUAUUUUGCUUAUGAUGAACCUCCUUUUCCAUUUAAUUCUUUUGUAAGGCAGAAUAUGUGAACUUUGCUAUUUAUUUGUUUUGUAAGGCAGAGUAUGUAAUUAUGAUGCACUGUUGCCUUGUUUGAUGGCUUUGAUUA